GGCGACUCCCCGCCCGGGACUCCUCGUACGCCUUCCGCCACUGAAUUCAUGGUGGCUUCGCAGCGCGGCGGGAGAAUUUCCUACAGGUUUCCCAGUCCGCAUCCGAAGGGAAUAGCCGAUCCCGGGAAGUCCACCGCAGAGCGGACAGGCUGCACCCUCCGCCGGGCGCAGCCUCCGCCGCGAUCGCUCAGUCCCGAAACACGAAACAGCAACAUCCAGAGUAGGAGCAUUCCCCCCAGCGCAGCCCAGCUCUCCUCCCCAAGUAAGGCGAAGCAUCCAAGGCAGCUUUAGGAAGGUGAAAGAGGGAGCGGGAGCCGCGCUCAGCCCUAGCAGAGGCGCUUUCUGCCUCCGCUACAGAGGCAACUUGUUUCCUUCACCAAGGUUUGUAACCGAGUUAAAAGAAAUCCUCCAAAAAUAUCGGGAUCCAGGCUCUGGGAGGAGCCUCCGCGUCCCUUGCAGCCAAUAUCCUCCUGCCCAUUUGUGCCUGACAGUUUUGUAAGGGAAGGGAAGGGAA